GUGGAGCUGCACUAAAGAGAAACUAAUAAUGAGGCAGCGGGAGGUUUCAGAGCCAGAAUCAGGACUCAGCUGAUCAGUCAGCUGUGGGAGAGGAGAGAGGGAAGGCUGCAGGGAAGGGAGGAAGUUAGAGUACAGAGAAAGGGCAGAGGGAAAGGAAGCAAGGAAAGGUUAGGAAGAGUGGAAGAAGGACAGAAAUAAAGGAUGCCAGGAAAGGUGAAGAGAAGAGGAGGAAGGAAAGGAGACGAGAGAAAGAUGAAAGACAACACACAUCCCUCCUUCCUUCCUUCAUUCCUUCCUUAUAUACCCCCUUCUUCACUUCUUCAAGGAAGGAAGGAACGAAGGGAGUUAGGAAGGAGAGUGAGAAGUGAGAGGAUCGUCAACAGCUAACAGCUGUCCAGAUGUUGUGAACCGAGCCUCUGGCAGACAGAUGGACGUCUUUAACUCCAACCCCAAUACAAAAGAGGAUGAAUGGAGGAGGGAGGCGAGGAAGAGGAGGGAGCCAAUCAGAGGCGGAGCUCGGCAGCCAGCGGUGAGAGAGACAAAGCUGCUAAUUAGUGGACUGGGCGAUCAGCAGGUUUGACCUCUGAACGCGUCGCGGCCUGGAACCGGCGGUCUGCAGGCUGACCAGCAGGAGUCUGAGCGAGGACGAGGCGCCGCCCUCGGGGUCCGGCUGAAGUCUGCUGAGAGAGAGAGUUUUCUCUCUUGUUUCAGCAGAAGUUCAUCUGCUGGAUUUCAGCUGCAUGAAGUGAAGCUGAGUCGUACGGCAGGUAAACGUCACCUGGACAUUAAAUGAAUGGGACUUUUCUGCCAAGUUUGAAUCCAGAUCUCUGGAAAACGUUUCACUCUGAAAUGAUCAGAUCGUUGAGAUUUGAAAACCUUGACUUGAAUCCAUAAAACAGAAGUGUCAGCGAUGGUUGGAUGGAGCUGCAGGUCGUCUCCUUUCAGAAGCAGGAGCCACAAUAUUCUAUGUUUUUAAUGAAACUAGGAACAAAGAGAAGAGAAUCCUCCUCGUGUUGAUUUAAAUAAACAUCAUUUUAAGUACAUGA